GAAAAGCGUCGGUAAAUUCUUCUCCCGCGCUAAAUUUUACCGACGCUUUUAGUGGGUGUGGGAAAAUUAAGGGAUUAGACGACGCUUAAAAGGGUCGUCGUACACUGAAGCCAAACGACGCUUUAAAGCGUCGUUGUUGAUGGCCUAAGACGACGCGUAUAUGCGUGGUUAAUCCAAACGGUAAAACGACGCUUAUAAGCGUCGCCGAAGCCACCUUAAGACCCACCGUCCCGCAGACUUGCCCUAGCUACUCCCGAGCCCCCUCUUUCUCCUCCUCUCCGGCGCUGAAGCCACCGAACCCAGCGGCCUUCGUCUUCCUCCUCUCGGCGUUGCCUUAGCCCCCAUCUUCCUCCUUUCCGGUGCGGAUCGUCCGACUCCUAGCUCCUCCUCCUCCCUCCUCUCCGGCGUCGACCGACCGACCCCAACCCGCUCCGCCCGCCCGAGGUAGUUUU
rnacentral:lncRNA from 1 species